rnacentral:rRNA from 1 species
AAACAAAAUGGUUUGAUCCUGGCCAAGGAGAAACGCUGGGGGUGGGUAUCAACACAUGCGAGUGGAACGGUCGAAAGAUAGUCGCGGACGAGUGAGUAACGCGUGAGAAUCUGCCCUCCAGUGGAGUCAAAUAUUCCAUGAAUCGGCAGUUGCCGGUAAAGACCUAGGUCGCUGGAGGAUGAGCUCGCGUAGGAUUAUGGUUGUUGGUGAGGUAAUGGCCCACCAAGCCUCUGAUCCUUAGCCGUCCUGAGAGGGGGACCGGCCACGGUGGCACUGAGACACGGGCCACACGCAAUAUUUGCGGCAGCAGUGGAUAAGAUUUGACAAUGGGCGAAAGCCUGAUCGAGCCACACCCCGUGAGCGAAGAAGGCCGAUGAGUCGUAAAGCUCUAAAGCUCAGCGACGACCGCUGGGCGAUAAGUACCGGCUAACUCUGUGCCAGCAGCCGCGGUAAGACAGAGGGUGCAAGCGUUUUCCGGAAUGACUGGGCGUAAAGGGCACGUAGGCGGUGUUCCUAUUUCUCUAGAUGAAUUCCAUGGCUCACCCAUGGAGCAUUUAGAGUGUGGGUCCACUGGAGUGUGAUAGAGGAGAGUGGAAUUUCUAGUGUAGAGGUCAAAUUCGUAGAUACUAGAAGGAACACCGACAGCGAAGGCAGCUCUCUGGGUCACCACUGACGCUGAGGUGCGGAAGCGCGGGGAGCAACAGGGAUUAGAUACCCCUUUAGUCCGCGCCGUCAACGAUGAGUGUUAGGUUUUGUCAUGUGUGGCAGAGCCGUAGCUAACGCGUUAAACACUCCGCCUGGGGACUACGGUCGCAAGAUUAAAACUCAAAGGAAUUGGCGGUAGCUCAAACAAGCGGCGGAACAUGCCGUUUAAUUCGAAACAACGCGCAAAACCUUACCAACCCUUGACAUGUUUUUGAAACCCUUGCCGUAAUAGCAAGACUAGCAAUUCACAGGUGCUGCAUGGCUGUCGUCAGUUCGUGGCGUGAGUCGUUUGGUUUAUUCCUGCAACGAACGAAACCCCUGGUAGGUGUUGCUCAGCAACAGCAAGCCUAUUGGCUUGUCAGUUGUUGCACUCACCUACGACUGCCCGCGAUAUGCUGGAGGAAGGUGGGGAUCACGUCAAGUCGUCAUGGCCCUUAUGGGUUGGGCUACAGGUGUGUUACAAUGGCGACUACAGAAGCUUGCGAUGGUGCCAGCCGGAGCGAAAGCAAAAAAGUCGUCGUAGUUCGGAUUGUUCUCUGCAACUCGAGAAUAUGAAGUCGGAGUCGCUAGUAAUCGCGGAUCAGCACGCCGCGGUGAAUAUGUACCUGGGCUGUGCACACCCCGCCCAUCACGUUCGGAAAGUUUUAUGCGGUGGAAGGGGCAUACCCGUCGUGGCCUACUAGAGUGGGCAUGACGGAUGCUUCGAAUCUGUGUAGGGUAAUUCGAAUGAAGUUGUAACACGGUAGCUGUAGGGGAACCUGCAGCUGGAUUGAAACCUUG